rnacentral:rRNA from 1 species
CUAAUACCGCAUACGUCCUACGGGAGAAAGCAGGGGACCUUCGGGCCUUGCGCUAUCCGAUGAGCCUAUGUCGGAUUACCUAGUUGGUGAGGUAAUGGCUCACCAAGGCGACCAUCCGUAACUGGUCUGACAGGAUGAUCAUUCACACUGGAACUGACACACGGUCCAUACUCCUACGGGAGGCAUCAUUGGGGAAUAUUGGACAAUGGGCCAACGCCUGAUCCAGCCAUGCCGCGUGUGUGAAGAAGGUCUUCGGAUUGUAAAUCACUUUACGUUGGGAGGAAGGGUACUUACCUAAUACGUGAGUAUUUUGACGUUACCGACAUAAUAAGCACCGGCUAACUCUGUGCCAGCAACCGCGGUAAUACAAAGGGUGCAAGCGUUAAUCGGAAUUACUGGG